UAAAAUAAUUAAGGGCACACAGGGAAUGCCUAGGUAGUAAGAGCCGAUGAAGGACGUGGUAAGCUGCGAUAAGCUUGGGUUAGCUGCAAACGAGCGCCAACCCCAAGAUUUCCGAAUGGAGCAAUCUGCUAAGAUGGAGUCUUAGCACGAAAGAGGGUACCGAGUGAACUGAAACAUCUAAGUAACUCGAGGAAAAGAAAGUAAAAACGAUUCCCCAAGUAGCGGCGAGCGAACGGGGAUGAGCCUAAACCAUAUAAGUGUCAAGGAUACAGCCGUUGCUUAUAUGGGGUUGUGGGAAGAACGUUUGAAGAACUGUAAGAUAUUCAACAUAUCUAAUGACUGAACUGGAACUAGUUGGAAAGCUAGAUCGUAGAAGGUGAUAAUCCUGUACAGGUAAACUCAUUAGAAUGUAUGUUCUCUCCCAAGUAACAUGGAACACGAGGAAUUCUGUGUGAAUCUGCGAGGACCAUAUCUCGUAAGGCUAAAUACUCUUACUAACCGAUAGCGUAUAGUACCGUGAGGGAAAGGUGAAAAGAACCCCGGGAGGGGAGUGAAAUAGAACCUGAAACUGUGUGCUUACAAGCGGUCAGAGCUCUUCGGAGUGAUGGCGUGCCUUUUGGAGAAUGAUCCUGCGAGUUACGUUCAGUGGCGAGGUUAAGUAUAACGGAGCCGAAGGGAAACCGAGUCUGAACAGGGCGACAUAGUCGCUGGGCGUAGACGCGAAACCUGGUGAUCUAAGCCUGUCCAGGGUGAAGCUGUGGUAAGACACAGUGGAGGCCCGAACUCACCGCCGUUGAAAAGUUGGGAGAUGAGGUAGGUUUAGGGGUGAAAAGCCAAUCGAACUAGGAGAUAGCUCGUUCUCUCCGAAAUGCAUUUAGGUGCAGCCUUGAGUGUUUAAUUAUGGGGGUAGAGCACUGAAUGAACUAGGGGGCAUAUUGCUUACUGAAUUCAAUCAAACUCCGAAUACCAUAAUUCAAAGCUCAGGAGUGAGACUAUGGGAAUUAACUUCCAUUGUCAAAAGGGAAACAACCCAGACCACCAGCUAAGGUCCCUAAUUAUAACUAAGUGGGAAAGGAGGUGGAGAUUCACAAACAACCAGGAGGUUGGCUUAGAAGCAGCCAUACCUUUAAAGAGUGCGUAAUAGCUCACUGGUCGAGAGUCUCUGCGCCGACAAUGUAACGGGGCUAAGUUAUAAACCGAAGCUGUGGAAUUGCGUAAGCAAUUGGUAGGAGAGCGUUCUGUAGGCCGUUGAAGGAGAAGCGUAAGCAACUCUGGAGGUAUCAGAAGUGAGAAUGCAGGAAUAAGUAGCGAGAAAGGGGGCGAGAAUCCCCCUCGCCGGAAGACCAAGGUUUUCAGGGUAAAGCUUGUCUUCCCUGAGUAAGCCGGGACCUAAGCCGAGGCUAAAAUGCGUAGGCGAAUGGAAAACAGAUUAAUAUUUCUGUGCCAGUUAUAUUUUGUGAUGGAGGGACGCAGAAGGGUAUGUGCGCGGGAGAACGGAAGUUCCCGUAAAAGCAUGUAGAGUGGUCUAGUAGGAAAAUCCGCUAGAUUAGACUUGAGGUGUGAUAUAUAGUCGUAAGAUGAAUGCACAAAUCCCACGCUGCCGAGAAAAGCUUCUAACGUUAAGGUAUAACUGCCCGUACCCGAAACCGACACAGGUGGUCAGGAUGAGAAAUCUAAGGCGGACAGGCUAACUCUCGUUAAGGAACUCUGCAAAAUUGCCCCGUAACUUUGGGAGAAGGGGUGCCCCUGAAUGUUAGUAAUUACGCAUUAUGAAGCAUUUGGGGGUCGCAGUGAAGAGGCUCAAGCAACUGUUUAACAAAAACACAGGUCUAUGCUAAGCUGUAAGGCGAUGUAUAUGGGCUGACACCUGCCCAGUGCCGGAAGGUUAAGAGGAGGAGUGAGAGCUCCGAAUUGAAGCCCCGGUGAACGGCGGCCGUAACUAUAACGGUCCUAAGGUAGCGAAAUUCCUUGUCGGGUAA
rnacentral:rRNA from 1 species